rnacentral:rRNA from 1 species
UACGAAGGGGGCUAGCGUUGCUCGGAAUUACUGGGCGUAAAGGGCGCGUAGGCGGAUAUCUAAGUUGGGGGUGAAAGCCCGGGGCUCAACCUCGGAAUAGCCUUCAAUACUGGGUAUCUUGAGUUCGGGAGAGGUGAGUGGAAUGCCGAGUGUAGAGGUGAAAUUCGUAGAUAUUCGGCGGAACACCAGUGGCGAAGGCGACUCACUGGCCCGAUACUGACGCUGAGGCGCGAAAGCGCGGGGAGCAAACAGGAUUAGAUACCCGGGUAGU